UCUUGUCUAGCCCAGUUGGUAGAGCACAAGGCUCUCCACCUUGUGGUCCUGGGUUCAAGCCCCAUAGUUUGCA
rnacentral:tRNA from 7 species